UGGAUGCAUACUUAGUAAGCAUAUCUAGGAUUCUAAUGCUAUGAAUAUGUGUGUGCCUGCCCUUGUUGAAUGAGGACCUACAUAUGUUCUAGAGUAGUACUUGUUAAUUGCGAUUAACAUGUGAACCAAUUUAUAGGAUAAGUAAGACAACACUAGUACUUACGAUGCCUUGUGAUGACUCAAACUCUUUUCGUUCUUAAUGAUUUCUUCUUGUUAAAUCUAUGAACACGCCAUUCUAGAUUGCAUGCUAGGAACUAAGUUAAGUUGAAAACGCCAUUCUCUUAACAUACUACGUAAGAAAGAGUAAUAGGUUGAGUUCUAAAAUUGAGCCAACUUGAGCAUCUUCAUCCGGAAAUAAAAGAAAUUUGAAUGAAAGAUAACAUGUUUGCAUGAUUAUUUGGUGGUGGAUAGCAAUACCCCUAACUCGUUUUUCUUAAUUUGUGAACUACUUAAUAUCUGUUUCUGUCCUGUUUUUCUUCGAUUUAAUUUAAAUAGCAAAUCAACUCCAAAAAUCCCAAAAAUUUGUGUGAGUGUAGCUCUUUGUGUCUAGUAUCUGCAUAUAAAAUUUCGUAGAAUUUAGAUAAGUGUAAGUCGGUCUAAUAAUUAUGUUUCGGUGGCUGGUCAGUAGGGACAUCAAUCGGUUUUUGUGACAUUUUAAGUAGUUAGAUAAAACAAUCUGCUGCGGGAAAGACCCUUAUUUUCAUAGGCUACAAUUGACAAAUCUUAUUGUUAAUAAGGAAAAUCAAUAGGACACUUGUGUGCUACUUUAUGGUGUGCUUUUAAUCCUAUCGGAGUUCAAAAGAUUGUGAUUGGUGAAAACCAACUUCAGUAUUCAUCCAACUCAUUAUUUAAUGAUAGUAACGUCAUCACAUAGUGCUGGCAAAGUCCUUACUUAACACCGGUAAUCUAACAAAUGUCUAAAUUUCAAGAUAUUAAAUACUUGUUGGAAACAUUUUAAAAUGUUGAGAUUAAUUUGGAAUCACUCGAAAAUUUUGAGAUUUUAUCCGUACUAACCCUUAUAUUUCCUAAACACGGAGAAUUAAGAAUCAUAAUAAUUUCAAUAUCAAGUAAGUAAACUUCAGAAUAAGAAACGGGCUCAAGUUUGUGAAGAAAACUAAGCCCAAGCCCAAAACAUUAAAAUAGUCCCUAAGAACAAGUCCAGCCCUCCCAAAUAGGCUGGCACAGAGUCUCCCAAAACAACCUAACCCCCCAAAAACCCACUCCACCCGACAAAAUAGCCAGGCCCAAAGUCCAUCCUAGCUUCUU
rnacentral:lncRNA from 1 species